AUUUAAUAGGAAAAGCUCCAGAGAGUAAUGGGUGGACAUUGGAUGAGAACCAAUAUCAAUUUUACUGGUUCGAUGGCGAUCAGUUACCAAGUUUUAAGAUUCGAACAAAGAUAACGAUGAUGACGACUUGAAUAUUGAAAUCCAGGAUUGCUUCGAAGAUGAAAGUCAAAACUCAUAUGAAGCUAACUAUGAAGAUUAAGA